GUGGUGAGUGCCGCUGCCGUCUCGUGCAAGGAGUGUCGGCAGCAGCAGGCUCAGCGGGAAGCCAAACAUUAUUUCGGCAUCAUAGAGGAAUUUCGGCCUCACCUGGUCCCUGCGGCGCCUACCAGAACACAUAUAUAAGCUGCCGGAUGACGAGGACCAAGGAACACCACCACUACCACCACUACCGCCUAACGCAAUAUGGCUCGUCAAACACUG